rnacentral:rRNA from 1 species
UACAGAGGGGGCAAGCGUUGUUCGGAAUUACUGGGCGUAAAGGGCGCGUAGGCGGCCUUCUAAGUCGAACGUGAAAUCCCCGGGCUCAACCCGGGAACUGCGUCCGAUACUGGAAGGCUUGAAUCCGGGAGAGGGAUGCGGAAUUCCAGGUGUAGCGGUGAAAUGCGUAGAUAUCUGGAGGAACACCGGUGGCGAAGGCGGCAUCCUGGACCG